rnacentral:lncRNA from 1 species
UGCUCUACACAUUCAGGCCAUUCUGGGAAGAAACCUCGUGUUGCUACACAGAAGACCAGGCAUAGGCCAUAGAGUUUUGCCUGAACUUGCUUGCGCUUGCCCUCCUUGCCACGGGAGCUGCCUGCCCUGGCUCCUCAUGGACAAAGAGGGAAGAAUCUGUUUUGUCACAGCUGGAGGAAUGUGCCCUGCGCUCCUGGGACCACAGAAACCCGAACAAGGUGUCCAGGAGCCACCAGGAGCACCUCACCUUGCUCCUCUGCACCAACACCUGUUGAUAUUUUCCACCAGCUACAGCAGCCACGCACACAGCUUCCAAAGCUACCCAAACUCCACAGCGGUGUAAAAAUGUGACAUGGGAAAUUCCAGAAACGAGCAAGCCAUACGUUGUAAGGCAUGUGCUGUUCUGAAGAAGGUGAUGAAAUCCUGUGUCACCCUGUUCAGCCUGUCAGGGCUCUGAGUCAUCCUCUGAUUGCCACAUGGUAUCCACAUGGGUCUCCUGGAAGAGCGGAAGCUCAUGAUGAUGUUUACAGCUUCCAAUCUAUCAGGGUGAAGGCGGGAAGCCCUCACGGCCUUCCAGACCUGCCACUGCUUUUUGCCAUGAUGUGCUCACCAAGGCUCAUGCAUCUGACACUUGCUCUUAAGCACGGUGGUUUGAGGUCCUCCAGAGGUGGAAGUCUGAAUAAAACCAGGUCCUCUCUACCCUUUGGCUUCCUGCCUCACCAUGGCAACUCUUCCUCUCAUUUGUAGUUUCAUCAUUGUGUGACACAAAGGACCUUCCUGAGACACUAUGUCCCUUAAUACCCGAGACUAUGAGCUAAAUAAACCUCUUUUUUCUUUACAAUGGGGCGUCUAAGAAGCUCGGAAGGUCCUGUUCACACAACAGCAGAGAGGCCCGGCACACUGAAAAUUCAUGGCUUCAGCUAAUCAAAGAACUGAGGUCAUAAGACAAAACACUACCCCACUCCUGAAGUUAGAGAGUCAGCUAGGAAGACAAAGAGAACUCCAAGUUAUGGGAGCAGAAACCCAAGACCAGCAGUCUCCAUGGUAACGAUUGCUGGGUUUCUUUGACCCAGUACAGUAUGCUUGGCUUUCAACAAAAAGUACAAGGUGAGCUAAGAGACACAGAAGGAAGGCUGGGGAGGUGGAUGGAGCUUUGUAAUUGAUUUAGAUGCAGCUCCGUUGAACAGAGUAAAAGGAGUCGGGGGUGGAUGGGGGGGGCAGCCUGUGCACGUUAGCUUACAGGAGUCAGCACUGGCUGUGAGAGCAAGCCUGCGCAGGCUGUGGGAGUGAUGGAGAUGGAGUGCAGCUGUGUGGCAAUGCACCUCGGGGAAGCCUCUCUCCUUGCUUCAAAUAGGAUCCCCUCCUUCUCUGUCCUCACACAAGUCCUGAAGCUGGCCAAAGUGUGGCUCAUACAAAUGUCUAGAUUAAUGAGGAUGCCAACAGGGAUGUAACUCAGGGUACUGGGCCUGCCUUGGGCUGAAGUCCGUCUUCUGAGUUGGAGUGGGCAGGGAGAAGUGGUGUUCGCCUCAAAAGCAGUGACGUGUUGCUUUAUGGAACAAGAUCAGCGCUGAUCAUUGUUUGUGCUUCCUUCCUUCAUCCUGUCAUUCAGCACUGACCUCUGGUCAUGAUGACUCAUCAGCCCUCCGAGCAGCUGUGAGGAGAGUUACCUCCAACACAGACAAUGGAGGGAAGCUGGUAUGUGGGCUGAGAUGGGAGAACAGACAGGAUCAUGGGGGAGUGGAGGAGGGGCUGAAGGUCCUGCAAGAAUCAGCAAGGACAGGCUUGCAGGAAACCCAUUCUCUUCUUUUGGAGGGGAAGUUGCUUUUUUAGACCUGACCCCACUGUGCCAACGUCACCUGUGACCACAGGGAUAGCAGGUACAUGCCAAUGAGACAGCAGACCCCGGCGCAGUGAGGGAUACCACCAGGCAUGGUGACAAUAUUGACUGUCAACAUGGCAGGGUCUAGAAUCACCCUGAAGACAAGCCUCUCUGGGUAUCUGGAGUUUCUAGAUUACGUUCAUUAGUGUGAGAAGACCCAGCUGAAUGUGAACGGAUAGGCUGGUUCCCGGACCGAAGAAAACAAAGACCAGACUCCUCUCUCUGCCUCUGGAUUGCAGGUGCAGUGUGACCAGCUGCCUCACACCUCUGGUGUCAUGGCUUCCAAAUAUGAUGGACUGUACCUUCUGUUUACAAGACCUAAUAAAGUCUUCUUUC